rnacentral:lncRNA from 1 species
GUGAAAAUAUGGAAACUGUAGCAUAGAAUUACAGUAUGUGAAAUUAGAACCAACAGUUCCCUGUCAUCUUCAAGCACCCGCGCCCUACUGUUUCCCUGACGCCUGGAUGGCACGCGGCGAACGUUUGCAGAAUAGAGUUGAAGUUAAAUGUUCCCACCGAACCUAUUUACUUUGGUGCAGAAUACGGCGCCCAAGACACCAAGUGCAGGAUGGAGGACGCAAAGAAGUAUAAAGAUGGUG